UACGUAGGGUGCAAGCGUUGUCCGGAAUUAUUGGGCGUAAAGAGCUCGUAGGCGGUCUGUCGCGUCGGCUGUGAAAACCCGGGCUCAACCCCGGGCCUGCAGUCGAUACGGGCAGACUAGAGUGCGGUAGGGAGACUGGAAUUCCUGGUGUAGCGGUGAAAUGCGCAGAUAUCAGGAGGAACACCGGUGGCGAAGGCGGGUCUCUGGCCGUAACUGACGCUGAGGAGCGAAAGCAUGGGAGCGAACAGG
rnacentral:rRNA from 1 species